UCCCCAUCUGUGAAAAGGGGGGCAGUAAUGACUCGGGACUGAGAGGGUUCCACCGGAGGAGACAGAUGAGCCUGCGCUCUGGCCUCCUGGGGCCCCUCUGGCCUCUUCUGCCCCCCUCCGCCCUGUGCCCCCCUCCGCCCUGUGCCCCCUCUCUGGCCCCCGUUCCACACACUGACUGGCAGGUGCUGCAGAAAGGAGGAGACGGAGCGGUGGAUCUGCAGCUGUGACUCCCUCGCUGGGCGUGUUGCUCUGGACGCAGAAACGGCUGCUUCUUGCCAAGAUCAAUGGAAAAAUAUCCUCCGGCAAGGAUUAACAACAAACACAAACAAAAAACAAGGUCUCCGUGAGACUCCGUGGAGGAUGACACUAGACCUCAAAGGACUCUGACAGUGACAGCCAAUUCCUGCGCAAAAAUGAUCCUCUGCUGCCUCCCUGUGGACAUUCAAGGAAUAACAGCAACCACUACCAGCUGUCACAGGGAAAACCUAUGCUGUAUUGGAAGAAAAUUUUUUAAAAAGAUGAUAAAAAAUAGUAAAAAAAAAAAAGGGGGGGGGAGGGGGGGCUCUAUGAUUAAACUUACCAAGGGCUCAAGACGACUCAAUGGUAGAGUCUGGCUUUGCACUUAAGUCAUUUUAAAACUGUGAUUUCCACUGAUGACGAAAGUCUGCAUGGAGUGUAGACAAUUACACACACAUGUUUUUCUGCAAGUGAAGACGUCACAGGCCACAGACGGUGUGCGGGUGACAGUGCAGAAUGUGUGGGUCCCGGCGUGGUCCCGGCAGAGCUCGCCCUCUAGAAAUUUCUUCCUUGCCUGCUGUGCUUUUCUGCACAAGAGACCCUGAGACUUGCUCUUCUGCUCAACCCCAACCCACACACUGUCCUCAGAAUCCUCUCUGUAAACAUAGACCUAGCUACUUCCCUCCUCCAUAGACUCCACCACAGACUCCCACUCUCCCUCCACCUAGUCUUUCACCAGAGGUGCUGGCCAACGCUCUAACCAGUGAGCAACACCAGGUACGGAUUCUAUACACUAAUAAAAUAUAAAUUUGUGCCAAGUCAAGGGUCAGAGGUAAAGUGUGGGGAUGGGGCUAGGGCUGGGGUGGGGUUAGGGUUUUAGGGCGAAGUGUCAGUUUCAGGGCUGGAGUCAGGGUCAGAAGUGUAAAAGGUGAAUUUGCUUUGGAGAUGAAUUUGCUUUGCAAAAGGUGAAUUUUUCUGAUUGUAUUUCAGCAGCAUCAAAAUUAGUCUACCCUUCUAGGAUGUUAGCAGAUUCCAAUAUUGCUUCAUAUCUUUUCAAGUUACUUCUGUGACAUUAGGUUAUUAUGAGUACUUUUGUCUGCUAGUAAAUUAGUUGUAAACACUUUUUUUUUCUGAGUAAAAUAUUCUAGUUAAUGGUUUGGUGUUGCAACACAGUGGUUUUGAAACGUGUUCUUUUAAGUCAAAGGGUUCUUCAAUACCUAUGCCUGUCUCUUUCAGAAUGAAAGAUGAAAUAGUCCUGUAGAAAUGUGCUAAGAACAAAGAUUCCUUAUUUUGCAAUUUAUGAGAAUGUAAUCCUAGAGCAGACUUACACUCUGGUUUUAUAGGAUAAACGCCUUUGUGUUCCUUCAAGUAAGUUACCGCUUAUACUGUACACGUCUAUGCAGCUAUGUGCUUAUGAUAGAAACCUCAAAGGAAGCUAUCUGCCAAUUCCUGUGCAAAAACGAUCCUCUGCUGGCUGCCCUCUUGUGGCCGUUCAAGGAAUAACACCGUGUGCUUCUGUCCGUGGUGCUGAAAUCCCAGCUAAUGCCCUGUGAACAAGACGAAAAAUUAUACCCAGAAACAAAACAAAAACAAAACAAAAAAAAGCACACACACAAAAUCAUCGAGCCUGUACAUGGCUGCAAUCAUUCCGUCCCUGGAUGGACUGAAGUCACGCGUUUGGAUUUUGCACCUCUUUCCGACCCAGCCCUGCAAAGGGAGGUCUUGGCUGAUGCACUGAUAUCGUGAGUGAACCUGUGCGUUCACGAUGUCAGCCUGAAACCUGGAGGCUGCCAUUAUUGAGGCAGCCAGGACCUUGGAGGCCGCCGUCCUUGAGGCAGCCAGUAACCUGGAGUCCGCUAUGAUUGUGGCAGUCCUUUCCCUGCAGGCCACCAUUAUUGAGACAGGCAGUCCGUACAGCGAGGUGUGGAGUAUCCCAAGACCCGGCGACCUCGCCAGAGUCCGCUGUUACUGAGGCAUUCCAUACCCGGGAGGCCGUCAUUACUGAGGCCACCCAUACAGCGCAGGCCUCUGUGAACGUGGAAGCCCGUACUGGACAGGUGGUCUUUGCUGAGGCAGCCAGCAACCUGCAGCCACCUUUACUAAGGCAGCCAGUACCUUGGAAGCUGCCGUCCUUGUAACCUGGAGUCUGCUAUGAUUGCGGCAUUCCGUAACCUGGAGGCCGCCCUUACUGAGGCAGGCAGUCCGUACAGUGAGGUGUGGAAUAUCGGGAGACCCAGAGACCGCGAGAGAGUCCGCCAUUAUUGAGGCAUUCCGUAAGCUGGAGGCUGCCCUUACUGAGGCUGUCCGUACUGAGGAGGCCUUCGCUAAUGAGUCAGGCAGUAUGGGACAUGUCGCCUUUACUGAAGUUAUUUGUUCCUAGCUACUAGGUUACUGGUUACUAGUUACUGGGUUACUGGUUACUAAUUACCAGGUUACUAGGUUAAAAAGGUUACUAGUUACUUGGUUACUGGCUACUAGUUACCAGGUUAAUGGUUACUGGUUACCAGAUUACUGGUUAUCAGUUUACUAGGUUAAGUAUCACGUGCAUGCAUCUAUAUACUUAUUACGCAAAGGAAGCGGUCAGCCAAUACCUAAGCAAAAUAGAUCCUCUGCCGCCCUCUUGUGGUCAUUCAAAGAAUAACACCUUGUGAUUCUGUCCGUGGUGCUGAAAUUUCAGCUAAUGCCCUGUGUACUUGAUUGAAAAUUCUACCCAAACAAAGACAAGAGCAACCAAAAACACAAAGGAAAACCCACGAAAUCAUCGAUGCUGUCCAGGGCGCAACCAUUCCUUUCCUGGAUGGACUGAAGUCACAGGUCUGGAUUUUACACCCCUUCCCACUCCAGCCCUGCAAAAGGUGACCUUGGCUGCUGCACCAACAUCGUGAACCUGUGCGUUCACUAUGUCAGUCUAUAACCUAGAGGCUGCCAUGAUUGGAGCAGUCAGUCCUGGGGAGGCCGCCAUUAACAAGGCAGCCAGUACCAGACAGGUCACCUUUCCUGAGGCAUCCAGUCAGCCGGCGGCCGUUGUGAUUGCGGCAGCCAGUCCCUUGGAUGACCCCAUUAUGGAGGCAGCCAGUCUGUCCAGCGAGGUGCAGGGAUAUUGGGAGAACGUGUUAUUCCCGCUUGACCCAGCGGCCCCUGGAGAGGCCUCCUUUACUGAGCUACAAUGAUCGAUGCAAUGAGUAGCCUAGAGGUGAGCAUUCCUGAGGCAGUCCUCCACCUGUAGGCUGCUAUUAUUGAUGCAAUCAGUACCAGGGAGGCUGUCAUUGUUGAUGGCACCUCCAGAUGCAGGGUUAUCAUGGGAACGUGUUAGUACCGUGAGAAAAAAAUUCAAUUUAAACUUUUUUGUUGAAACACAGUGAGUUUUUAAAAACCAUUUUUUAAGUUGAUUUCAGAGAUGAAGGGAGAG